UACGUAGGCAGCAAGCGUUGUUCGGAGUUACUGGGCGUAAAGGGUGUGUAGGCGGUUGUUUAAGUUUGGUGUGAAAUCUCCUGGCUCAACUGGGAGCUUGCAGGCGAAACUGCCGUGCUGGAGUGUGGGAGAGGUGCGUGGAAUUCCUGGUGUAGCGGUGAAAUGCGUAGAUAUCAGGAGGAACACCUGUGGCGAAAGCGGCGCACUGGACCACAACUGACGCUGAGGCGCGAAAGCUAGGGGAGCAAACAGG
rnacentral:rRNA from 1 species